AUUGAACGCUGGCGGCAUGCUUUACACAUGCAAGUCGAACGGUAACAGGCCGCAAGGUGCUGACGAGUGGCGAACGGGUGAGUAAUGCAUCGGAACGUGCCCAGUCGUGGGGGAUAACUACUCGAAAGAGUAGCUAAUACCGCAUACGAUCUAUGGAUGAAAGCGGGGGACCGUAAGGCCUCGCGCGAUUGGAGCGGCCGAUGUCAGAUUAGGUAGUUGGUGGGGUAAAGGCUCACCAAGCCAACGAUCUGUAGCUGGUCUGAGAGGACGACCAGCCACACUGGGACUGAGACACGGCCCAGACUCCUACGGGAGGCAGCAGUGGGGAAUUUUGGACAGUGGGCGCAAGCCUGAUCCGGCAAUGCCGCGUGCAGGAAGAAGGCCUUCGGGUUGUAAACUGCUUUUGUACGGAACGAAACGGCUCUGGUUAAUACCGGGGCUAAUGACGGUACCGUAAGAAUAAGCACCGGCUAACUACGUG
rnacentral:rRNA from 1 species